ensembl:lncRNA
CUAAAGUCCACAAGGAUCUCAUUUGUUUUGGUGGUGUUUAGGACCAGGUUGUUAUCCACACACCACUCUGCCAUGUGUUGGACCUCCUGCCUGUAAUGGCACUCAUUGUGGUCACUAAUGAGCCCCCCCACAGUGGUGUCAUCAGCUAAUUUGAUUAUGGUGUUGGAUGAUGGAUGGGUAUGCAGUCAUGGUGAAGAGGGUGUAGAGGGCUGGGCUGAGUACACACCCCUGGGGCGCACCUGUGUUCAAGGUUAUAGUUGAGGAUGUCAGGUCCCCUACUCUGACAUUCUGCGGUCUGUUUGAAACAAAGUCCAGGAUCCAUGAGCAGAGUGAGGUGGGGAGACCAAGAUGAAUGAGUUUGAGGACCAGUUUAUGGGGAUUGUGGUGUUGAAGGCAGAGCUGAAGUCCACAAAGAGCAUCCUUACAUAUGUGUUGGGGUACUCCAGGGGGACAGGGCUGUGUGGAGUGUGAUGGAGACAGCGUCCUCUGGGGAUCUGUUUGCCUGAUGGGCAAACUGGUGGCUGUCCAGGUCCACAGGGAUGCGGUCUCUGAUGUACGCCAGUAUCAUCCGCUCAAAGCACCUCAUGAUUACUGGGGUGAGGGCGACUGGGCGGUAGUCAUUGAGGCAGGGAAUGGCAGAAUUUGUGGGGAUAGGGACGAUGGUAGUGGUCUUAAGGCAGGUGGGAACUGCAGCUUGUUGCAGAGAGGUUGAAGAUGUCUGUAGAAGCUCCUGCUAACUGGUCGGCACAUGACCUCAGUAUACGGCCCGACACCCCAUCAGGGCCAGUAGCCUUGUUGGUGUCAAUCCUUCUCAAGAUGGACCUCACCUGGUGGUGCUGAAGAGUGAGUGUCUGCUCCUCCUCCUCGCUAACCAGUGCAGUGUCAUGAACUAGCUUGUAAUCCAUGACAAAAAAGGGGAGACCACACAGAAGUUUAACUGAAGUAUAUUUAUUUAGAACCAAUAACCUCUAUAAAGAGAUGACGAUAAACCAUGUAACCAUCAUUACAGUAGUGUAUGGGUGCAUGUGAAUAGUGUAGUGUAGUAAAUCAGACCCAUCUAAAGAACCUACAGCCCUGCUGUCUGGGUAGGAUAAGAUAGGAUAAGUGGAGGAGCCUGAUUGGAAUGGAGAACAGGGGCCCUAUUUUAACGGUCUGAAACGCAAGUGAGAAGCGCCAAGCGCAAGUAGCUUUGUGG